GAUGAACGCUGGCGGCGUGCCUAAUACAUGCAAGUCGAACGAAGGUAGCAAUACCUUAGUGGCGAACGGGUGAGUAACACGUAGGUAACCUGCCUUUCAGUUGGGGAUAACCGAGGGAAACUUUGGCUAAUACCGAAUUCGUGCUUCGAAGGCAUCUUCGGAGCAUAAAAGGGGCCUUUAAAGCCUCGCUGAUUGAUGGACCUGCGGCGCAUUAGUUAGUUGGUGAGAUAACAGCCCACCAAGACGAGGAUGCGUAGCCGACCUGAGAGGGUGAACGGCCACACUGGAACUGAGACACGGUCCAGACUCCUACGGGAGGCAGCAGUAGGGAGUUUUCGGCAAGUGGGGAAACCCUGACCGAGCAACGCCGCGUGAGUGA
rnacentral:rRNA from 1 species